GAGUGCUCUCUUUGAGUAGCUUGGUAGUUGGCUUGUGAUAUGAAAGUAGUCCUAAAGAUGAUAGGCAUCCAAAGAGGAUACAAUAAAACUUCCAUAUUCAUGUGCAUUGAUUAGUAAAGAGAAGUUUGAUUCCUAUCAAUUAGUUUUGAUACAUGGAUUUGGUAAUAUUAGAGUUAUGUUAGUAGGGUGUUGUUAAUCUAGAAAUACUUGUGUUGAAGUUAGUGAUUCCCGUAGCAUGCACGUAUGGUGAACUGUUAUGUCAGGAAGUCGGAGCAUAAUUGAUUUAUUGAUUGACAUCCUUUGUGUGGCGGUCGCGAUCGUGCGAUGGUUAACACCUACCAACCCUUCCCCUAGGAUUAUGCGUUUAGUACUUUGUUUCGAUUACUAGUAAAACUUUUGCAAUAAGUAUAUGAGUUCUUCAUGACUAAUGUGAGUCCAUGGUAUAGAUGCACUUUCACCUUCCACCGUUGCUAGCCUCUCUAGUGCCGCAACUUUCGCCGGUGCAAAAAACCACCAUAUACC
rnacentral:lncRNA from 1 species